UCCGACGUAGCUCAAUGGUGGAGCAAUCGGCUGUUAACCGAUAGGUUGCUGGUUCGAGUCCAGCCGUCGGAG
rnacentral:tRNA from 1 species